GGGGAUGUGGUGAAAUUGGCAGACACACCAGAUUUAGGUUCUGGCGCUUAUAGCGUGACGGUUCGAGUCCGUCCAUCCCCA
rnacentral:tRNA from 2 species